CCUACGGGUGGCAGCAGUGGGGAAUAUUGGACAAUGGGCGAAAGCCUGAUCCAGCCAUGCCGCGUGUGUGAAGAAGGCCUUCGGGUUGUAAAGCACUUUCAGUGGGGAAGAAAGCCUUGGGGCUAAUACCCUCGAGGAAGGACAUCACCCACAGAAGAAGCACCGGCUAACUCCGUGCCAGCAGCCGCGGUAAUACGGAGGGUGCGAGCGUUAAUCGGAAUUACUGGGCGUAAAGCGCGCGUAGGCGGUCUGAUAAGCCGGUUGUGAAAGCCCCGGGCUCAACCUGGGAACGGCAUCUGGAACUGUCAGGCUAGAGUGCAGGAGAGGAAGGUAGAAUUCCCGGUGUAGCGGUGAAAUGCGUAGAGAUCGGGAGGAAUACCAGUGGCGAAGGCGGCCUUCUGGACUGACACUGACGCUGAGGUGCGAAAGCGUGGGUAGCAAACAGGAUUAGAUACCCUGGUAGUC
rnacentral:rRNA from 1 species